AGCUAAUGAUUUAAAAUGAAAUAACCAUGAAUGUUUUAAACUGAGGAGUUGAUUACAUUGUGAAUAUUGUUUGUUAUUGUAAUUAUAAAAUCAUGUGAUGCAGCUCAGAAUAUCUCAGGGAAACAUAGAGGACAAAUCUCUAAAUAAGACAUUCAG